AUGCAAGUGGUAGGAAACCGAAAGGCGACCGACCCUUCGGGAGGCUUGCACAGGUGCUGCAUGGCUGUCGUCAGCUCGUGUCGUGAGAUGUUCGGUUAAGUCCGCUAACGAGCGCAACCCUCGCUGUGUGUUACAAGUGUCACACGGUACUGCCGGUCUUAAGCCGGAGGAAGGUGGGGAUGACGUCAAGGUCAGCAUGGCCUUUAUGUCCUGGGCUACACACGCGCUACAAUGGCCAACACAAUAGGUUGCUAGGCCGCGAGGUGGAGCCAAUCCUCAAAGUUGGUCUCAGUUCAGAUUGCAGGCUGCAACCCGCCUGCAUGAAGAUGGAGUUGCUAGUAACCGCAGGUCAGCUAUACUGCGGUGAAUACGUUCCCGGGGCUU
rnacentral:rRNA from 1 species